UACGAAGGGGGCUAGCGUUGCUCGGAAUCACUGGGCGUAAAGCGCACGUAGGCGGACUUUUAAGUCAGGGGUGAAAUCCUGGAGCUCAACUCCAGAACUGCCUUUGAUACUGAAGAUCUUGAGUGCGGGAGAGGUGAGUGGAACUGCGAGUGUAGAGGUGAAAUUCGUAGAUAUUCGCAAGAACACCAGUGGCGAAGGCGGCUCACUGGCCCGAUACUGACGCUGAGGCACGAAAGCGUGGGGAGCAAACAGG
rnacentral:rRNA from 1 species